rnacentral:rRNA from 1 species
UACGGAGGGUGCGAGCGUUGUCCGGAAUCACUGGGCGUAAAGGGCGCGUAGGCGGCGCGAGCAGUCGAUCGUGAAAGUCCGGAGCUCAACUCCGGAUCGGCGGUCGAUACUCUCGUGCUUGAGCACUGUAGAGGCAGAUGGAAUUCCGGGUGUAGCGGUGGAAUGCGUAGAGAUCCGGAGGAACACCGAAAGCGAAGGCAGUCUCCUGGCAAGUUUCUGACGCUCAGGUGCGAAAGCUAGGGGAGCGAACAGG